CCCAGGGCAGGAGGAGGACGCCAUAAAAUGCUGCACUUCUGUUUGAGGUUCCCUAACCCAGCUGCAGCGCUCCGCGGAGCUUCUCGGGUGGCUGGGCCGCUUUGAAGGUUUACUUUCAAUUAAAAAAAAAAAAUAAAGUAAAAUAAAAUAAGAAGAAAAGAAGCCAAAUCAGCAGCUGUCAGGGACGCGGGGAAGAUUUAUUCAGGGCGGUCAAAGGGGAGCGUGGCCGGCAGUCAGGGCUGCAGAGCAGAAGUUGCAAUUCCCAUGCCGAAGGGAACCACAGGUAACUGGAGAUGACAAAUGAAAGCCAACUGAAGCCAAUACUUAGGAACCAACAGUCUAAGGAAUGUUCUGACAAUGAUACCAGUGGUGUUGGCCUAAAUUUAAAAUGAGCUAAGGUUUUAGCCAACAUGGAAGUUGGAAGAAGAGGGCAGGAAGGAAAAAAAAGGAAAGCUGUCCUUUCAACCAGAUGGUAAUCUUGUCUGCCCCUUACUCUCUCAACCAGUAAUCACUGAGCCUCCCAAAUAACUGCACUGAGGACCUUUGAGAGCUGCAAUUACCUGCCCUUCCCACCCCACAUUUCCUUCUUUUCUGGGAUCAGGAAUA
rnacentral:lncRNA from 1 species